CCAAGGGUACAGGUCAUUUCCCAUCCGCUUCCGGCACCUGAUUCUGGUGGUGCUUCAGUUAAUACUGUCAUUGAUAUGAAAAGUCUCCAGAAUUUGGUUCAUCCUGUGACCAAUAAUAAUCCUCUUAUUGGAACACAAGGAUGGGGAGCUGUUUCAGUUUCAAAACCAGAAAUGGUCGCUUCACACGCAAUAUCUGGUAGUGGAUCUCAGGGGUGGGGAAGUGCACCAUCCCAGAAGCCAGAGCAGAACAAUUCAAUUUCCUUGCCCACUCAAGCUGGUGCUUAUGGUAACUGGGGCGAUGCAUCAACUUCUGCUGCCCAUAGUUCUGCUUCAUCCUUUAUUGCAGGCAACCCAACCGGUGUUUCUCCUGCGCCAGGAGCUUCAGUUUUGGCACCAUCUGAUCUUUGGAGAGGUCCAAUGCCUGGGCAACCCAACAUUCAACCUUCUGCUGCUCCAUCUAAUGUGCCAUGGGGCAUGGGUAUUACUGAUAACCAAACUGUUACACCUAAACAAGGGCUAGAAAAUCAAAAUAUUGGUUGGGGGCCGGUUCCAGGAAAUCCAAACAUGGGCUGGGGAGGACCUGUGUCUGCAAAU
rnacentral:misc_RNA from 1 species